CCACUGGUGUGUUUGCUUAAAAAUGUUUUUCUUUUUUUCUGAUUAAAAUAUGUUAAAUGCUUAUUAUAAAGCAUCUGGGAAUAGGAAAACAGAGACUUAAAAGUGACCUAUACCAUAGGUAAAGAUAUUUCACAUGGACAUGCAGGAGAAAGGGAUGCUCCCAGGCCUGCCAUAUCAGAAGCCAAUCGGAACUACUCAAUGGAGUGGCAGCUCCUAUGACCAGAUGGCCCAGGCAGCUAAGUCUGGUGUUCAAGAACCCCAGACUCCCCAUCACUUGAUAGAGGCUAGACAAGCCCUGGACCCAGUGGAACCCCCAGCCUCCAGGCUGCAGAGCAAGAGCUAAGGGUGGUUUGGAGAAAGCCACAGGUGCUUAAAAGAAGUCAAAGAGGUUCAUAUUUGCUGUUCUGUUGUUCUUGGUCGUGGCAGUAAUUCAAAGUCUCAAGUAUGCAAAAACGAGUUGGAAAUGUUUUAAAAGGGCAGCCAAGUAGGCAUUUCUCUUCCAAAUAACAGGCUUGAUUCCACUGUUGGAUUUUUUAAAAAACUUUUAUUUAUCUUCACUAAUUAUUUAACUUUGAUUUUCA
rnacentral:lncRNA from 1 species